rnacentral:rRNA from 1 species
CACGGAGGAUCCAAGCGUUAUCCGGAUUUAUUGGGUUUAAAGGGUGCGUAGGUGGUUCUUUAAGUCAGGGGUGAAAGACGGCAGCUUAACUGUCGCAGUGCCUUUGAUACUGAAGAACUUGAAUACACUAGAGGUAGGCGGAAUGUGACAAGUAGCGGUGAAAUGCAUAGAUAUGUCACAGAACACCAAUUGCGAAGGCAGCUUACUAUGGUGUCAUUGACACUGAGGCACGAAAGCGUGGGGAUCAAACAGG